GAUUAACGCUAGCGGCAGGCCUAAUACAUGCAAGUCGAACGGCAGCGGGUCCAGCAAUGGAUGCCGGCGAGUGGCGCACGGGUGCGUAACGCGUAUGCAACCUACCUUUAACUGGAGGAUAGCCCCGAGAAAUCGGGAUUAAUACUCCAUAAAAUUAUGAAGUGGCAUCUCUUUAUAAUUAAAGCUCCGGCGGUUUUAGAUGGGCAUGCGUGACAUUAGCUUGUUGGUGAGGUAACGGCUCACCAAGGCGACGAUGUCUAGGGGUUCUGAGAGGAUUUUCCCCCACACUGGUACUGAGACACGGACCAGACUCCUACGGGAGGCAGCAGUAAGGAAUAUUGGGCAAUGGGCGCAAGCCUGACCCAGCCAUGCCGCGUGAAGGAUGACGGCCCUAUGGGUUGUAAACUUCUUUUGUACGGGAAAAAACCCCCGGUCGUGAACCGGGGUUGAUGGUACCGUAAGAAUAAGCAUCGGCUAACUCCGUGCCAGCCGCCGCCGUAA
rnacentral:rRNA from 1 species